rnacentral:lncRNA from 8 species
UUUAUAUCUUUAUCUCUUAUCUACACACUCCAGUAAACAUGCACCACAAUACUCUGACUGACGCACCACUCAGGGGGAGUGGCGUCAUACCUAAGACAACCACCCACUAGACUGAGGGAACUACCUAGAACAUCACCUGGCAGUGAACAUGAUGACCACAAUGCAACAAUCUCCUGAGACAUGACCUCUCUUGGACGAGGAAACAGCAGUAGGACUAGAGAGAGCUCCCAUUCUGCACCUGAGAAUCCAUUCACACUGCAGGAGCCUAGUUGACAGAGGACAUCAUUCUUGGGGACUUUUAUCUACGUGAAGGGAGAGACGAGCGAAGACACGCCGAGCUGUAAAAAUGAGUGAAUGUAGCCAUAAUGGUCUGUGUUUAAUCUGGGCUGAUAGGAGAGAAAGAGAGGCAGUGAUGGAGAAAAGGCAUUAGAUGUCCAGUGUUCCAGUGUUCUAGUGGACACAUAGCCAGGACACAUAGCCAUUAGUGGACACAUAGCCAGGACACAUAGCCAUUAGUGGACACAUAGCCAGGACACGUAGCCAUUAGUGGACACAUAGCCAGGACACGUAGCCAUUAGUGGACACAUAGCCAGGACACGUAGCCAUUAGUGGACACAUAGCCAGGACACGUAGCCAUUAGUGGACACAUAGCCAGGACACAUAGCCAUUAGUGGACACAUAGCCAGGACACAUAGCCAUUAGUGGACACAUAGCCAGGACACAUAGCCAUUAGUGGACACAUAGCCAGGACACAUAGCCAUUAGUGGACACAUAGCCAGGACACAUAGCCAUUAGUGGACACAUAGCCAGGACACAUAGCCAUUAGUGGACACAUAGCCAGGACACAUAGCCAUUAGUGGACACAUAGCCAGGACACAUAGCCAUUAGUGGACACAUAGCCAGGACACAUAGCCAUUAGUGGACACAUAGCCAGGACACAUAGCCAUUAGUAGACACAUAGCCAGGACACAUAGCCAGGACACAUAGCCAUUCGUGGACACAUAGCCAGGACACAUAGCCAUUACUGGACACAUAGCCAGGACACAUAGCCAUUAGUGGACACAUAGCCAGGACACAUAGCCAUUAGUGGACACAUAGCCAGGACACAUAGCCAUUAGUGGACACAUAGCCAGGACACAUAGCCAUUAGUAGACACAUAGCCAGGACACAUAGCCAGGACACAUAGCCAUUCGUGGACACAUAGCCAGGACACAUAGCCAUUACUGGACACAUAGCCAGGACACAUAGCCAUUAGUGGACACAUAGCCAGGACACAUAGCCAUUAGUAGACACAUAGCCAGGACACAUAGCCAGGACACAUAGUCAUUAGUGGACACAUAGCCAGGACACAUAGCCAUUAGUGGACACAUAGCCAGGACACAUAGCCAUUAGUGGACACAUAGCCAGGACACGUAGCCAUUAGUGGACACAUAGCCAGGACACAUAGCCAGGACACAUAGCCAUUAGUAGACACAUGGCCAGGACACAUAGCCAUUAGUGGACACAUAGCCAGGACACAUAGCCAUAAGUGGACACAUAGCCAGGACACAUAGCCAUUAGUGGACACAUAGCCAGGACACAUAGCCAUAAGUGGACACAUAGCCAGGACACAUAGCCAUUAGUGGACACAUAGCCAGGACACAUAGCCAUAAGUGGACACAUAGCCAGGACACAUAGCCAGGACACAUAGCCAUAAGUAGACACAUAGCCAGGACACAUAGCCAUUAGUGGACACAUAGCCAGGACACAUAGCCAUUAGUGGACACAUAGCUGUCAUGUCCUGACCAGUAAAAGGGGUUAUUUGUUAUUGUAGUUUGGUCAGGGCAUGUCAGGGGGUGUUUGUUUUGUGUGUUUCGGGGUUUUUGGUUUAUGUUCUAUGUAAUCUAUUUCUAUGUGUUUAUCUAGCUUUUCUAUUGCUAUGUUAGUUUUGUCAAUGACCUCCAAUUAGAGGCAGCUGGUUGUUGUUGUCUC